GGGUUGUGAGGUUAAGCGACUAAGCGUACACGGUGGAUGCCCUGGCAGUCAGAGGCGAUGAAGGACGUGCUAAUCUGCGAUAAGCGUCGGUAAGGUGAUAUGAACCGUUAUAACCGGCGAUUUCCGAAUGGGGAAACCCAGUGUGUUUCGACACACUAUCAUUAACUGAAUCCAUAGGUUAAUGAGGCGAACCGGGGGAACUGAAACAUCUAAGUACCCCGAGGAAAAGAAAUCAACCGAGAUUCCCCCAGUAGCGGCGAGCGAACGGGGAGCAGCCCAGAGCCUGAAUCAGUGUGUGUGUUAGUGGAAGCGUCUGGAAAGGCGUGCGAUACAGGGUGACAGCCCCGUACACAAAAAUGCACAUGCUGUGAGCUCGAUGAGUAGGGCGGGACACGUGGUAUCCUGUCUGAAUAUGGGGGGACCAUCCUCCAAGGCUAAAUACUCCUGACUGACCGAUAGUGAACCAGUACCGUGAGGGAAAGGCGAAAAGAACCCCGGCGAGGGGAGUGAAAAAGAACCUGAAACCGUGUACGUACAAGCAGUGGGAGCACGCUUAGGCGUGUGACUGCGUACCUUUUGUAUAAUGGGUCAGCGACUUAUAUUCUGUAGCAAGGUUAACCGAAUAGGGGAGCCGAAGGGAAACCGAGUCUUAACUGGGCGUUAAGUUGCAGGGUAUAGACCCGAAACCCGGUGAUCUAGCCAUGGGCAGGUUGAAGGUUGGGUAACACUAACUGGAGGACCGAACCGACUAAUGUUGAAAAAUUAGCGGAUGACUUGUGGCUGGGGGUGAAAGGCCAAUCAAACCGGGAGAUAGCUGGUUCUCCCCGAAAGCUAUUUAGGUAGCGCCUCGUGAAUUCAUCUCCGGGGGUAGAGCACUGUUUCGGCAAGGGGGUCAUCCCGACUUACCAACCCGAUGCAAACUGCGAAUACCGGAGAAUGUUAUCACGGGAGACACACGGCGGGUGCUAACGUCCGUCGUGAAGAGGGAAACAACCCAGACCGCCAGCUAAGGUCCCAAAGUCAUGGUUAAGUGGGAAACGAUGUGGGAAGGCCCAGACAGCCAGGAUGUUGGCUUAGAAGCAGCCAUCAUUUAAAGAAAGCGUAAUAGCUCACUGGUCGAGUCGGCCUGCGCGGAAGAUGUAACGGGGCUAAACCAUGCACCGAAGCUGCGGCAGCGACGCUGAUGCGUUGUUGGGUAGGGGAGCGUUCUGUAAGCCUGCGAAGGUGUGCUGUGAGGCAUGCUGGAGGUAUCAGAAGUGCGAAUGCUGACAUAAGUAACGAUAAAGCGGGUGAAAAGCCCGCUCGCCGGAAGACCAAGGGUUCCUGUCCAACGUUAAUCGGGGCAGGGUGAGUCGACCCCUAAGGCGAGGCCGAAAGGCGUAGUCGAUGGGAAACAGGUUAAUAUUCCUGUACUUGGUGUUACUGCGAAGGGGGGACGGAGAAGGCUAUGUUGGCCGGGCGACGGUUGUCCCGGUUUAAGCGUGUAGGCUGGUUUUCCAGGCAAAUCCGGAAAAUCAAGGCUGAGGCGUGAUGACGAGGCACUACGGUGCUGAAGCAACAAAUGCCCUGCUUCCAGGAAAAGCCUCUAAGCAUCAGGUAACAUCAAAUCGUACCCCAAACCGACACAGGUGGUCAGGUAGAGAAUACCAAGGCGCUUGAGAGAACUCGGGUGAAGGAACUAGGCAAAAUGGUGCCGUAACUUCGGGAGAAGGCACGCUGAUAUGUAGGUGAAGCGACUUGCUCGUGGAGCUGAAAUCAGUCGAAGAUACCAGCUGGCUGCAACUGUUUAUUAAAAACACAGCACUGUGCAAACACGAAAGUGGACGUAUACGGUGUGACGCCUGCCCGGUGCCGGAAGGUUAAUUGAUGGGGUCAGCGCAAGCGAAGCUCUUGAUCGAAGCCCCGGUAAACGGCGGCCGUAACUAUAACGGUCCUAAGGUAGCGAAAUUCCUUGUCGGGUAAGUUCCGACCUGCACGAAUGGCGUAAUGAUGGCCAGGCUGUCUCCACCCGAGACUCAGUGAAAUUGAACUCGCUGUGAAGAUGCAGUGUACCCGCGGCAAGACGGAAAGACCCCGUGAACCUUUACUAUAGCUUGACACUGAACAUUGAGCCUUGAUGUGUAGGAUAGGUGGGAGGCUUUGAAGUGUGGACGCCAGUCUGCAUGGAGCCGACCUUGAAAUACCACCCUUUAAUGUUUGAUGUUCUAACGUUGACCCGUGAUCCGGGUUGCGGACAGUGUCUGGUGGGUAGUUUGACUGGGGCGGUCUCCUCCUAAAGAGUAACGGAGGAGCACGAAGGUUGGCUAAUCCUGGUCGGACAUCAGGAGGUUAGUGCAAUGGCAUAAGCCAGCUUGACUGCGAGCGUGACGGCGCGAGCAGGUGCGAAAGCAGGUCAUAGUGAUCCGGUGGUUCUGAAUGGAAGGGCCAUCGCUCAACGGAUAAAAGGUACUCCGGGGAUAACAGGCUGAUACCGCCCAAGAGUUCAUAUCGACGGCGGUGUUUGGCACCUCGAUGUCGGCUCAUCACAUCCUGGGGCUGAAGUAGGUCCCAAGGGUAUGGCUGUUCGCCAUUUAAAGUGGUACGCGAGCUGGGUUUAGAACGUCGUGAGACAGUUCGGUCCCUAUCUGCCGUGGGCGCUGGAGAACUGAGGGGGGCUGCUCCUAGUACGAGAGGACCGGAGUGGACGCAUCACUGGUGUUCGGGUUGUCAUGCCAAUGGCACUGCCCGGUAGCUAAAUGCGGAAGAGAUAAGUGCUGAAAGCAUCUAAGCACGAAACUUGCCCCGAGAUGAGUUCUCCCUGACUCCUUGAGAGUCCUGAAGGAACGUUGAAGACGACGACGUUGAUAGGCCGGGUGUGUAAGCGCAGCGAUGCGUUGAGCUAACCGGUACUAAUGAACCGUGAGGCUUAACCUUACAACGCCGAAG
rnacentral:rRNA from 1 species